GCUCUGGACGCAAUGGACGGAUAUGACACUCGCUGCGCCAGGUUGAGGGCCUGGUCCGGGAUAACCGGGUGGAGGUUCGAGUCCUCUUCGGCGCA
rnacentral:tRNA from 1 species